CAUUAAGAAGCUAAAAUGGAAAUAGCAUUAGCCUUUUAAGCUAAAUUAUGGUGCCUCUUAGCACCCUUAAUGA
rnacentral:tRNA from 1 species